rnacentral:rRNA from 1 species
CACUAUCACUUAGCGGCGGACGGGUGAGUAAUGCUUAGGAAUCUGCCUAUUAGUGGGGGACAACAUUUCGAAAGGAAUGCUAAUACCGCAUACGUCCUACGGGAGAAAGCAGGGGAUCUUCGGACCUUGCGCUAAUAGAUGAGCCUAAGUCGGAUUAGCUAGUUGGUGGGGUAAAGGCCUACCAAGGCGACGAUCUGUAGCGGGUCUGAGAGGAUGAUCCGCCACACUGGGACUGAGACACGGCCCAGACUCCUACGGGAGGCAGCAGUGGGGAAUAUUGGACAAUGGGCGCAAGCCUGAUCCAGCCAUGCCGCGUGUGUGAAGAAGGCCUUAUGGUUGUAAAGCACUUUAAGCGAGGAGGAGGCUACUGAAGUUAAUACCUUCAGAUAGUGGACGUUACUCGCAGAAUAAGCACCGGCUAACUCUGUGCCAGCAGCCGCGGUAAUACAGAGGGUGCAAGCGUUAAUCGGAUUUACUGGGCGUAAAGCGCGCGUAGGCGGCUAAUUAAGUCAAAUGUGAAAUCCCCGAGCUUAACUUGGGAAUUGCAUUCGAUACUGGUUAGCUAGAGUGUGGGAGAGGAUGGUAGAAUUCCAGGUGUAGCGGUGAAAUGCGUAGAGAUCUGGAGGAAUACCGAUGGCGAAGGCAGCCAUCUGGCCUAACACUGACGCUGAGGUGCGAAAGCA